UACGUAGGGUGCAAGCGUUGUCCGGAAUUAUUGGGCGUAAAGAGCUUGUAGGCGGUUUGUCGCGUCUGCUGUGAAAUUUCGGGGCUCAACCCCGAACUUGCAGUGGGUACGGGCAGACUAGAGUGCAGAAGGGGCAACUGGAAUUCUCGGUGUAGCGGUGAAAUGCGUAGAUAUCGAGAGGAACACCUGCGGCGAAGGCGGGUUGCUGGGCUGACACUGACGCUGAUGCGCGAAAGCCAGGGGAGCGAACGGG
rnacentral:rRNA from 1 species